AGCCUACGGGAGGCAGCAGUAGGGAAUCUUCCACAAUGGGCGAAAGCCUGAUGGAGCAACGCCGCGUGGGUGAAGAAGGUCUUCGGAUCGCAAAACCCUGUUGUUAGAGAAGAAAGUGCGUGAGAGUAACUGUUCACGUUUCGACGGUAUCUAACCAGAAAGCCGCGGCUAACUACGUGCCAGCAGCCGCGGUAAUACGUAGGUGGCAAGCGUUAUCCGGAUUUAUUGGGCGUAAAGGGAACGCAGGCGGUCUUUUAAGUCUGAUGUGAAAGCUUUCGGCUUAACCGGAGUAGUGCAUUGGAAAC
rnacentral:rRNA from 1 species